GAGGAAAGCUGGCGGCGUGCCUAAUACAUGCAAGUCGAGCGAACGGACGAGAAGCUUGCUUCUCUGAUGUUAGCGGCGGGCGGGUGAGUAACACGUGGAUAGCCUACCUAUAAGACUGGGAUAACUUCGGGAAACCGGAGCUAAUACCGGAUAAUAUUUUGAACCGCAUGGUUCAAAAGUAAAAGACGGUCUUGCUGUCACUUAUAGAUGGAUCCGCGCUGCAUUAGCUAGUUGGUAAGGUAACGGCUUACCAAGGCAACGAUGCAUAGCCGACCUGAGAGGGUGAUCGGCCACACUGGAACUGAGACACGGUCCAGACUCCUACGGGAGGCAGCAGUAGGGAAUCUUCCGCAAUGGGCGAAAGCCUGACGGAGCAACGCCGCGUGAGUGAUGAAGGUCUUCGGAUCGUAAAACUCUGUUAUUAGGGAAGAACAUAUGUGUAAGUAACUGUGCACAUCUUGACGGUACCUAAUCAGAAAGCCACGGCUAACUACGUG
rnacentral:rRNA from 1 species